GUAGGUGGCAAGCGUUGUCCGGAAUUAUUGGGCGUAAAGCGCGCGCAGGCGGUUCUUUAAGUCUGAUGCGAAAGCCCACGGGCUCAACCGUGGAGAGUCAUUGGAAACUGGAGAACUUGAGUACAGAAGAGGAAAGCGGAAUUCCACGUGUAGCGGUGAAAUGCGUAGAGAUGUGGAGGAACACCAGUGGCGAAGGCGGCUUUCUGGUCUGUAACUGACGCUGAGGCGCGAAAGCGUGGGGAGCAAACAGGAUUAGAUACCCUGGUAGUCCACGCCGUAAACGAUGAGUGCUAAGUGUUAGGGGGUUUCCGCCCCUUAGUGCUGCAGCUAACGCAUUAAGCACUCCGCCUGGGGAGUACGGCCGCAAGGCUG
rnacentral:rRNA from 1 species